rnacentral:rRNA from 5 species
AGACCCGAAACCCGGUGAUCUAGCCAUGGGCAGGUUGAAGGUUGGGUAACACUAACUGGAGGACCGAACCGACUAAUGUUGAAAAAUUAGCGGAUGACCUGUGGCUGGGGGUGAAAGGCCAAUCAAACCGGGAGAUAGCUGGUUCUCCCCGAAAGCUAUUUAGGUAGCGCCUCGUGAAUUCAUCUCCGGGGGUAGAGCACUGUUUCGGCUAGGGGGCCAUCCCGGCUUACCAACCCGAUGCAAACUGCGAAUACCGGAGAAUGUUAUCACGGGAGACACACGGCGGGUGCUAACGUCCGUCGUGAAGAGGGAAACAACCCAGACCGCCAGCUAAGGUCCCAAAGUCAUGGUUAAGUGGGAAACGAUGUGGGAAGGCCCAGACAGCCAGGAUGUUGGCUUAGAAGCAGCCAUCAUUUAAAGAAAGCGUAAUAGCUCACUGGUCGAGUCGGCCUGCGCGGAAGAUGUAACGGGGCUAAACCAUGCACCGAAGCUGCGGCAGCGAACGUAUCACCCAAGACAACUUUACGGAGUUGACGAUUGACGGAGCGAAGCGACGUCAAAGCGUUCAUUAAAGUCGAGUUGGCUUAGGGAUACGUUCGUUGGGUAGGGGAGCGUUCUGUAAGCCUGUGAAGGUGUGUCGUGAGGCAUGCUGGAGGUAUCAGAAGUGCGAAUGCUGACAUAAGUAACGAUAAAGCGGGUGAAAAGCCCGCUCGCCGGAAGACCAAGGGUUCCUGUCCAACGUUAAUCGGGGCAGGGUGAGUCGACCCCUAAGGCGAGGCCGAAAGGCGUAGUCGAUGGGAAACGGGUUAAUAUUCCCGUACUUGGUGUUACUGCGAAGGGGGGACGGAGAAGGCUAUGUUGGCCGGGCGACGGUUGUCCCGGUUUAAGCGUGUAGGUGUGUGUUCCAGGUAAAUCCGGUUCACUUUAACACUGAGGCGUGACGACGAGGCACUACGGUGCUGAAGCAACAAAUGCCCUGCUUCCAGGAAAAGCCUCUAAGCAUCAGGUAACACGAAAUCGUACCCCAAACCGACACAGGUGGUCAGGUAGAGAAUACCAAGGCGCUUGAGAGAACUCGGGUGAAGGAACUAGGCAAAAUGGUGCCGUAACUUCGGGAGAAGGCACGCUGACACGUAGGUGAAGUGAUUUACUCAUGGAGCUGAAGUCAGUCGAAGAUACCAGCUGGCUGCAACUGUUUAUUAAAAACACAGCACUGUGCAAACACGAAAGUGGACGUAUACGGUGUGACGCCUGCCCGGUGCCGGAAGGUUAAUUGAUGGGGUCAGCGCAAGCGAAGCUCCUGAUCGAAGCCCCGGUAAACGGCGGCCGUAACUAUAACGGUCCUAAGGUAGCGAAAUUCCUUGUCGGGUAAGUUCCGACCUGCACGAAUGGCGUAAUGAUGGCCAGGCUGUCUCCACCCGAGACUCAGUGAAAUUGAACUCGCUGUGAAGAUGCAGUGUACCCGCGGCAAGACGGAAAGACCCCGUGAACCUUUACUAUAGCUUGACACUGAACAUUGAGCCUUGAUGUGUAGGAUAGGUGGGAGGCUUUGAAGUGUGGACGCCAGUCUGCAUGGAGCCGACCUUGAAAUACCACCCUUUAAUGUUUGAUGUUCUAACGUGGACCCGUAAUCCGGGUUGCGGACAGUGUCUGGUGGGUAGUUUGACUGGGGCGGUCUCCUCCUAAAGAGUAACGGAGGAGCACGAAGGUUGGCUAAUCCUGGUCGGACAUCAGGAGGUUAGUGCAAUGGCAUAAGCCAGCUUGACUGCGAGCGUGACGGCGCGAGCAGGUGCGAAAGCAGGUCAUAGUGAUCCGGUGGUUCUGAAUGGAAGGGCCAUCGCUCAACGGAUAAAAGGUACUCCGGGGAUAACAGGCUGAUACCGCCCAAGAGUUCAUAUCGACGGCGGUGUUUGGCACCUCGAUGUCGGCUCAUCACAUCCUGGGGCUGAAGUAGGUCCCAAGGGUAUGGCUGUUCGCCAUUUAAAGUGGUACGCGAGCUGGGUUUAGAACGUCGUGAGACAGUUCGGUCCCUAUCUGCCGUGGGCGCUGGAGAACUGAGGGGGGCUGCUCCUAGUACGAGAGGACCGGAGUGGACGCAUCACUGGUGUUCGGGUUGUCAUGCCAAUGGCACUGCCCGGUAGCUAAAUGCGGAAGAGAUAAGUGCUGAAAGCAUCUAAGCACGAAACUUGCCCCGAGAUGAGUUCUCCCUGAGACUUAGAGUCUCCUGAAGGAACGUUGAAGACGACGACGUUGAUAGGCCGGGUGUGUAAGCGCAGCGAUGCGUUGAGCUAACCGGUACUAAUGAACCGUGAGGCUUAACCUUACA